UCAAAGGGGCUUCACAGCCUCGCCGAGAGAUGGGUCGCCUCCGAUUAGCUAGUUGGUAGGGUAAUGGCCUACCAAGGCUUUGAUCGGUAGACUGAGAGGUUGAUCGGCCACACUGGAACUGAGACACGGUCCAGACUACGGGUGGCAGCAGUAGGGAGUAUUGCGCAAUGGGCGAAAGCCUGAAGCCACGCCGCGUGGAUGAUGAAGGCCUUCGGGUCGUAAAGUCCUUUGAGGGAAGAAAGGUCCGGUGAGGAAAUGCUCCGGAUUUGACGGUACCACGGCUAACUCUGUGCCAGCAGC
rnacentral:rRNA from 1 species